rnacentral:rRNA from 1 species
GAUGAACGCUGGCGGCGUGCCUAAUACAUGCAAGUCGAGCGAACAGAUCAGGAGCUUGCUCCUUUGACGUUAGCGGCGCACGGGUGUGUAACAUGUGGGUAACCUACCUAUCAGAGUGGGAUAAUCUCGGGAAACCGGCGCAUACACCGUAGAAUAUCUCGAUGCGCAGGGGUGGUUAGUGAAAGACGGUGUUGCUGUCACGAAUAGAUGGACCCGAGCCGUAUGGGCUGGUUGGUAAGGUAACGGCUUACGAGGGGGACGAGACGUAGCCGACGGGAGUGGGUGGUCGGCCACCCUGGAGCUGGGCCACGCUCCAGACUCCUACGGGAGGCCGCAGUAGCGUAUCGUCCGCAGUGGGCGAAAGCCUUGCGGAGCGGCGCCGCGUGUGUGGUGAAGGUCCUCGGUGCGUAAAGCUCUGUUAUUAGUGGUAAACAUACGUGUAAGUUGCUGUACACGUCUUGACGGUACCUAAUCAGAAAGCCCCGGCUAACUACGUG